rnacentral:rRNA from 1 species
GGGGGUGGAUAAAUUAAUAAAAUAAAUUUAAUAAAAAAAAUUUUAAUAUUAAAAAUAUAUAAUGGGGGUUAAAGUAUUUUUAAUAGAAAAAAUUUAUAAAUUUAUAGUUUAAUAGUAUUGUAAAAUAAAUUUGAAAUAAUAAAGAAAAAAAUUAAAUUAAAGUAAAUUUUAUUUGUUGUAUCUUGUGUAUCAGAGUUUAUUAAAUAUAGGUUUUAUUUAAAAUAAUCUCGAAUUUAAAAGAGUUAAUUAGUUAAGAAAGUUAAUGUUGAAUAAUUAUUUUAAAUAAUUAAAUAGAAAUGAUAUGUUAAUCGUUUUUAAAUAUAUCUAGUUUUUUUAGAAAAAAAUUUAAUUUUAAAUUUAAAUAAUUUUAAUAAUUAUUUUAAAUAAUUUUAAAAAUUUAAAAUUUUAUAUAUUAAGGGAUAAGCUUUAAAUUAAAGAAUUAUAAUUUAUUAUAUUAAAAUUAAAAUUUUUAAAAUUUAUAUUGUUUAAAAAUUAUAAUUUAUUAUAAAAAAUUUUAAUAAAAUUAAAAUUUAAAAAUUAAAUUUAAUUUUUUAUAAAAAAAUAAUUUUUAAUAAAUUAAAAUUAAAAAUAAUGAUAAAAUUAGUAUAAUUAAUAAAAAUUAAGUAAAUAAAAUAAUAAUUAAAUUAAAGGAAUUCGGCAAAAAUUUAUAUUCACUUGUUUAUCAAAAACAUGUCUUUUUGAUUAAUAAUUUAAAGUCUAAUCUGCCCACUGAUAAUAAAUUAAAGGGCUGCAGUAUAUUGACUGUACAAAGGUAGCAUAAUCAUUAGUCUUUUAAUUGGAGACUUGUAUGAAAGAUUUGAUGAAAUAUAAACUGUCUCUAGUUUAUUAAUAAAAAUUAAUUUUUUAGUUAAAAAGCUAAAAUAUAAUUAAAAGACGAGAAGACCCUAUAGAGUUUUAUAAUUAAUUUAUUUUAUGUAAAAUAUAAAAUUAAUUAUUAUAAGUAAAUUAAUUAUUUUGUUGGGGUGAUAAAAAAAUUUGAUAAACUUUUUUUUGUUAUUAACAUAGAUAAGUGAGUUUUUGAUCCAUUGAUAAUGAUUGAAAGAAAAAAUUACCUUAGGGAUAACAGCGUAAUAUUUUUUUUUAGUACAAAUAAAAAAAAAAGUUUGCGACCUCGAUGUUGGAUUAAGAUAAAAAUUAAAUGCAAAAGUUUAAAAUUUUGAUCUGUUCGAUCAUUAAAAUCUUACAUGAUCUGAGUUCAAACCGGUGUAAGCCAGGUUGGUUUCUAUCUUUAGUAAAUUAUAAUAUUUUAGUACGAAAGGAUCAAGUAUUAGAAAUAAUUUUAGCGGUUAAGAAUUUUAUUAAAAAAAGUUUA